CAAUAGCGUAUAUUUAAGUUGUUGCAGUUAAAAAGCUCGUAGUUGGAUUUCGGAUGGGACUUGCCGGUCCGUCGUUUCGAUGUGCACUGGCCAGUCCUAUCUUGUUGUCGGGGACUAGCUCCUGGGCUUCACUGUCCGGGACUAGGAGCUGACGAGGUUACUUUGAGUAAAUUAGAGUGUUCAAAGCAAGCCUACGCUCUGAAUACAUUAGCAUGGAAUAACACGAUAGGACUCUGGCUUAUCUUGUUGGUCUGUGAGACCAGAGUAAUGAUUAAUAGGGACUGUCGGGGGCAUUGGUAUUUGACUGUCAGAGGUGAAAUUCUUAGAUUCGUUGAGGACCAACCACUGCGAAAGCAUUUGUCAAGGAUGUCUCCAUUAA
rnacentral:rRNA from 1 species